AGAACAGAUAUACGCGCAAAUUAUAUAUCACGUUUGAAUCAGCAGCUCUUUGUUGAUAGUGCGAUCUUGUUAAAAGUAUGGUUUAAUUUCUCUGUUAAAAUAUACUUGAACUGCAACUAAGUGUCGGUGUAUUUAUUUGUCUCUUGACAUUCUUAACCAGUCUUUCUCUAUUCGGUGCUCGUUGUACUUGGUGCGCGGACGUGCGAGAACGUGCAAGAUCCUGUUGUGUAGGCAGAAUAAACGCACUAUCUACUUUCCACCGUGCUUUGCAGUUCUUUCGAAAAAAUACGCGAUUUAUUUGCGAUUAUAUGUAUGUACUUGUGAAGAAAAGUGAAUUGAGAUAUCAAUGAAUUUUCUAUAACCUCCUCUGCGAGAGUGUUAUUAAACUAUUCAAAUUGUGCAAACUACUUCUUAUUUUAAUGCUCAUCAUCAAUCCUAGAAUUCUCAGAGAAUUCUUUAUAAAAAUGGUAGAUAAUAACGAUUUCAAUCACUUCCCUGAAUCUAUUCCGACGCAAAGCAAUUAUUAUAAUCCAGUAAGCUUGAUUUUUGAGUAUAAUCAGAGGCAUUGGGUAAAAAUCGUUUAUCCAUAUAGUUAUGAAAUGUUUGAGGCAAAAGCAAAAGAAACAUUUUCCGAAUUAAAUGAUAAGCAAUUCAAAUUUUACGAUGAAAAGAAAGCUAUAUUAACAGGAGAAUUUUUAAUUGAACAUAUUCAGUUUUCCGGAAGAGGGUGCUAUUAUCACAAUUGAACUAGAUAAGCCAGUAAUACAAGAUUGCGAUUAGUUAACAACACCAACACUGAGUUCUUCUUCCAAUAUAACUCUUGCGGAUACUUCUGAAGAAGAUGAAGCAUCAGGAACUUCUUCACAAAAUAUUCACAAUUUACCAAUUUUACAUUCACAAGUAUCAAACAAAGGAGAGAUUGUUACAAACA